GAUUAGAGGGUGAGAGAAGAUAAAGAGUCAUUUUGUAUUAUUAUUUAGGAUUAAUUGCAUACAAGUCUUGCAAAUAUAGUAAAUUACAAAUAUAUUCCUACAAAGUUCAGCUUUCAUAUAUUAUCCUUAUAAAAAUCCUAAUAUUUUUAAAUAUGUUCCUACAAUUAAAAUUCGUUAGAAAAAUUUAGUUAACCAUAGAUUAAAUAGUUAACCCUGAUUACUUUAUGAGAUAACUUGACAUUUUUAUUCCAUUUAUAUUAUACCAUUGUCGCUUUUGAAGGGCAUAUUUGUGAUAACAAAAUUGAAAAUAUAAAUAGUUUUCUAACGAUUUUUUAACGGUAGCAAAUCAUAAAAAUAUAUUUGAAAAUAUUAGAACUUUUAUAGGAACAAUAUAUGAAAGUGAACUUUAUAAGGAUAUAUUUAAAAUUCAUUAUUU
rnacentral:lncRNA from 1 species